rnacentral:rRNA from 1 species
AUUGAACGCUGGCGGCAGGCCUAACACAUGCAAGUCGAACGCGUGGCGGACGGGUGAGUAGUGUCUGGGAAUCUGCCCGAUGGAGGGGGAUAACUACGGGACACUGUAGCUAAUACCGCAUUCCCUCGUGUGCGCACAGAUGGUUUUAGCUUGUAGGUGGGGUAAUGGCUCAACGAGGCGACGAUCCCUAGCUGGUCUGAGAGGAUGACCAGCCACACUGGAACUGAGACACGGCCCAGACUCCUACGGGAGGCAGCAGUGGGGAAUAUUGCACAAUGGGCGCAAGCCUGAUGCAGCCAUGCCGCGUGUAUGAAGAAGGCCCUCGGGUUGUAAAGUACUUUCAGUGAGGAGGCGUUACUGGCAGAAGAAGCACCGGCUAACUCCGUGCCAGCAGCCGCGGUAAUAC